GCAUACGAUAACAAUAUAGACAUAUGAUUGGGCUGGUUGUCAAGAUAAAUAAGGGGACGUAUGUCAUACGAAUUGCAUACUCACAUCUAAGAUCUUAGAAUUUGUCUUCUUACCUAAUGACAUAAAAUAUUUAACUCACGAACUGAAAUUUCAAACUUUAAGUGCAGUAGGGUUAUAAAGAUGACUAUUGACCAAGUUUAUCAAUAUAUAGUUUAUUGAUUGAAUUACCUCUCCACAACUAACAGAAGUUAAAAAAUUUGACAGAAAUUGAGGAUUGUCCUUGAAUUGCUUCAAAUUGAAACCAUGGGGACAAAAUUGAUAAAAUUAAAAUGACAAAGACCAAAGUGGUAAAAAUGGCAAACUAUAGGGACCAAAAGUGACUUUUUCCUGAAAAUUGAAACUCAUACAAUUUUAUUUUUUUUUAUUUUUUAUUUUUUUGCAGUCAUACCUCAUACAAUUGUUUAGUCUUUAAAUUUAUUAAAUUAAAUUUAAGGCUUAUUUACACCAAUUCCCCCAUGAAACUACGGUCAAAUCUCACUUUGCCCCUCCAAACUUAAAGUGUCCCACUUACCCCGCUUGACUGUGGUUUAGUGUCCCACUUUGCCCUUUGCCGUC
rnacentral:lncRNA from 1 species